CAGCCGCCGCGGUAAAACGUAGGGUGCAAGCGUUAAUCGGAAUUACUGGGCGUAAAGCGUGCGUAGGCGGUUUCUUAAGUCUGCUGUGAAAUCCCCGGGCUCAACCUGGGAAUGGCAGAGGAUACUGGGAAGCUAGAGUGUGUCAGAGGAUGGUGGAAUUCCCGGUGUAGCGGUGAAAUGCGUAGAGAUCGGGAGGAACAUCAGUGGCGAAGGCGGCCAUCUGGGACAACACUGACGCUGAGGCACGAAAGCGUGGGGAGCAAACAGGAUUAGAUACCCGUGUAGUCCCUGUCUCUUAUAC
rnacentral:rRNA from 1 species